rnacentral:rRNA from 1 species
AAUCAAGUUAAUAAGGGCAUAUGGUGGAUGCCUUGGCGAUAAAAGACGAAGAAGGACGUGGUUGGCUGCGAUAAGCUUCGGUGAGCCGUCAAACAGGCUUUGAUCCGGAGAUUUCCGAAUGGGGAAACCCAUUAUCCUUAAUCGGAUAAUAUUGCUGUCUGAAUACAUAGGGCAGUAAGGUUAACCAGGUGAACUGAAACAUCUAAGUAACCUGAGGAAGAGAAAUCAAUUUAGAGAUUACCUCAGUAGCGGCGAGCGAACGGGUAACAGCCCAAACCUAUUGGAUGUUAAAGCCCACAAGCGUUGUUCAAUAGGGGUUGUAGGGAUUAUGAUAUGUAUUUGUGGAUGCAUAUGAGAGUUAAAAAAUUAUUUAAUAGUAGAAUAACCUGGAAAGGUUAGCCAUAGAUGGUAAAAGCCCGGUAUACGAAAUUAAAUAAUCUCUCACAUAAUUUCCUGAGUACAACGGAACACGUGAAAUUCCGUUGGAACCUGCGAGGACCAACUCGCAAGGCUAAAUACUUUUAUCGACCGAUAGUGAACUAGUACCGUGAGGGAAAGGUGAAAAGUACCCCUGAAGGGGAGUGAAAUAGAACCUGAAACCGUAUGCUUACAAGUAGUAGGAGGCAGUUUAUCUGCUGACUGCGUACUUUUUGUAGAACGGACCGGCGAGUUACAGUAUGCAGCAAGGUUAAGCUAUUAUAGCGUAGCCGUAGCGAAAGCGAGUCUGAAUAGGGCGUCUAGUUGUAUGCUGUAGACCCGAAGCUGGGUGAUCUAUCCAUGGCCAGGGUGAAGCGAAGGUAAAACUUUGUGGAGGCCCGAACCCACUAAGGCUGAAAACUUAGGGGAUGAGCUGUGGAUAGGGGUGAAAGGCCAAUCAAACUCAGAGAUAGCUGGUUCUCCUCGAAAUAGCUUUAGGGCUAGCCUUAAGUGUUUGAUUCUGGUGGUAGAGCACUGAAUGGACUAGGGACCUUACAAGGUUACCAAAUCCAAUUAAACUCCGAAUGCCAGGAUUUUAUAGCUUAGGAGUCAGACUGUGAAGGAUAAGCUCCAUAGUCAAAAGGGAAACAGCCCAGACCAUCGGCUAAGGUCCCAAAAUAUAUGCUAAGUGGUAAAGGAUGUAAAGUUACUCAGACAACCAGGAUGUUUGCUUAGAAGCAGCAAUCAUUUAAAGAGUGCGUAACAGCUCACUGGUCAAGUGAUUAUGCGCCGAAAAUUCAACGGGGCUCAAGCAUAUUACCGAAGCCAUGGAUUCUGAUUUAUCAGAAUGGUAGAGGAGCGUUCCGUAAAGGCUGAAGCUUAAUUGUAAGAUUAGGUGGACUUUACGGAAGUGAGAAUGCAGGUAUAAGUAACGAAAGACAGGCGAGAAACCUGUCCGCCGAAUACCUAAGGUUUCCUGGGCAAGGUUAAUCCUCCCAGGGUUAGUCGAGACCUAAGCCGAGGCCGAAAGGCGUAGGCGAUGGAUAACAGGUUAAUAUUCCUGUACGACCAAAUUAUGUUUGAUCAAUGGGGUGACGUAGAAAGGUAGGCCAUCGUGGUUUGGUUGACUACGUGUAAGCGUGUAGGGUGCUAAUUAGGAAAAUCCGGUUAGCAUUAAACCUGAGACGUGAUACCGAUCCAAUUAUGGCGAAGUGGUUGAUCCUAUGCUACCAAGAAAAACCUCUAGGUAGUAAUUUGGUUCUCGUACCAAAACCGACACAGGUAGGUAGGUAGAGAAUACUAAGGCGAUCGAGAUAACCCUUGUUAAGGAACUCGGCAAAAUAACCCCGUAACUUUGGGAUAAGGGGUACCCCAGUAGCGUGAAGAAACUUGCUUUUGGAGCGUGAAAAGGUUGCAAUAGAAAGGCUCAAGCGACUGUUUACUAAAAACACAGGUCUCUGCUAAGUCGUAAGACGAUGUAUAGGGGCUGACGCCUGCCCGGUGCUGGAAGGUUACGAGGAGAGGUUAGGACUUCGGUCCGAAGCUUUGAAUCUAAGCCCCAGUAAACGGCGGCCGUAACUAUAACGGUCCUAA